UCCACUCUAUAGCAAGGUGACUCAGUUUGG
rnacentral:piRNA from 1 species